AUGGAGAGCCAAGCCAGCAUCUCUCCCUGGGUCAGCUCCACUUUACGGGCAAGCCAGCAGCGGCAACACGCGAGGAGCAGCCGCCGCCGAUCCCCUUCUCUGCUCGCGGUACUGCUUCUUCUUCUUCGGAUGCCCAUGCCGUUGUUCUCCUCUCAUCUCCCUUGCCUACUGCUUCCGAUCAUGUAUUGUAUUCAGAUUAAGUUGACACCCUUGCCGAAAAUCCAGUCAGAAGUCAGUGGCCUUGUUGUCCUGUUCAACUUAAGUUUGCACGAUGCGUAUUUGAUUUCUUGGCUGAUUGUUGUGAGCAUGAGUUAUAUAUACAGGUCAGACAGGGUGUUCCUCUAUCAUAUUCUAGGAGAAGUGAUAAAAGCCGGAGCAACAAGCCUCAGCAUCCCAGUUGGCCAGCACACCCCUCUUCAUGAAUUCCAGGAAUUAAUUGCUGACAUAAAAGAAAACACUCCUGGGAUCGAAAAUGCAAUCAUAUCUACUCCUUGCCAUGACGUUCUUGGUCUUGCAAGUGCCAACACACUAGUGGGUGUUUUUGCACGAGCAAAGCAGUUAGAGGUGACUGUCACUGUUAGUGGUGAAAGAGUCGGAAAUUCUUCCAUGGAGGAGGUUGUCAUGGAAAUUAAAUUUUCUCGAGAACUUUCAGGUGACCUAUAUACUGGAGUUAAUACCCAAGGAAGUACCAUGAAAAGCAAAAUGAUGCAAGAGCAGAGUGGACUUCACGCGCAGCUGCAUAAUGCUACUCUUGGCGCUAUUGCUCAUGAAAGGGAAAUUAAUCUGGAAUGCACUGAGAUGCUUAAAUUCGAAAGAACUUGUGAAAUAGCAUCAUAUGUUGAUAUCGGUCUCAGCAGAAGGCAUGUCGUCAGAACUAAAGUAGUGGAGCAUGGAUAUGGAAUCACCGAGAAAGAAUUUGCGGAUAUAUGUAAAAGCAGCUACAAAGUGGUUGCAGAGGAACAAAAGCCCGUCGCGCCGCUGGACUCGCGCAUGGACAUAACCACCCUGCUCUACAACACCGGGCAGGUGGUUGUCGUAGGCAGGUCCGUCAUGGACAUUGCGCAGCAUCCUGUGGUGCUCAACACUGUGCUACCGCUCAUGCGGCAGAUGGCGUGGCCAUGCCUGCGUGUCAUCGUCGUGUCUGGGUUUGGCGCCACGCUCGGUGCUGGCGUCAUGGCCAUGUAUGUUGGGGCGAUGGUGAUCCUUGAUGCAGGGUCCACGUACCGCUCCUCCACCCUGUAG
rnacentral:rRNA from 1 species